UACGUAGGGUGCGAGCGUUAAUCGGAAUUACUGGGCGUAAAGCGUGCGCAGGCGGUUCGUUAAGUCAGAUGUGAAAGCCCCGGGCUUAACCUGGGAAUGGCAUUUGAGACUGGCGAGCUGGAGUCUGGCAGAGGGGGGUGGAAUUCCACGUGUAGCAGUGAAAUGCGUAGAGAUGUGGAGGAACACCGAUGGCGAAGGCAGCCCCCUGGGCUGAGACUGACGCUCAGGCACGAAAGCGUGGGGAGCAAACAGG
rnacentral:rRNA from 2 species